UCGGGAAUUUUGGGCAAUGGGCGAAAGCCUGAUCCAGCCAUGCCGCGUGAGUGACGAAGGCCUUAGGGUUGUAAAACUCUUUCGUCGGGGACGAUAAUGACGGUACCCGAAGAAGAAGCUCCGGCUAACUUCGUGCCAGCAGCCGCGGUAAUACGAAGGGAGCUAGCGUUGUUCGGAAUCACUGGGCGUAAAGCGCACGUAGGCGGAUAGUUAAGUCAGGGGUGAAAUCCUGGGGCUCAACCCCAGAACUGCCUUUGAUACUGGCUGUCUCGAGGUCGAGAGAGGUUGGUGGAAUUCCUAGUGUAGAGGUGAAAUUCGUAGAUAUUAGGAAGAACACCAGUGGCGAAGGCGGCCAACUGGCUCGAUACUGACGCUGAGGUGCGAAAGCGUGGGGAGCAAACAGGAUUAGAUACCCUCAUAGUCCCUGAGCGGGCUGGCAAGGCGCAU
rnacentral:rRNA from 1 species